UAGGGAAUCUUCCACAAUGGACGAAAGUCUGAUGGAGCAACGCCACGUGAGUGAAGAAGGGUUUCGGCUCGUAAAACUCUGUUGUUAAAGAAGAACAUAUCUGAGAGUAACUGUUCAGGUAUUGACGGUAUUUAACCAGAAAGCCACGGCUAACUACGUGCCAG
rnacentral:rRNA from 1 species